GGGGAUGUAGCUCAGUGGUAGAGUGCUUGCCUAGCAUGUGCAAGGCCCUGGGUUCAAUCCCCAGCAUUACUA
rnacentral:tRNA from 1 species